UGGGGAAUAUUGGACAAUGGGCGCAAGCCUGAUCCAGCCAUGCCGCGUGAGUGAUGAAGGCCCUAGGGUUGUAAAGCUCUUUCACCGGUGAAGAUAAUGACGGUAACCGGAGAAGAAGCCCCGGCUAACUUCGUGCCAGCAGCCGCGGUAAUACGAAGGGGGCUAGCGUUGUUCGGAUUUACUGGGCGUAAAGCGCACGUAGGCGGACUAUUAAGUCAGGGGUGAAAUCCCGGGGCUCAACCCCGGAACUGCCUUUGAUACUGGUAGUCUUGAGUUCGAGAGAGGUGAGUUGAAUUCCGAGUGUAGAGGUGAAAUUCGUAGAUAUUCGGAGGAACACCAGUGGCGAAGGCGGCUCACUGGCUCGGUACUGACGCUGAGGUGCGAAAGCGUGGGGAGCAAACAGG
rnacentral:rRNA from 1 species